rnacentral:rRNA from 1 species
AUGGACGCCCUAGGCGGCGCGCUGCCGCGGCUCGCCCUCGCCGACGCCGACGCCGGGCCGGACGACGCGUGCGGGAGCCCCUGCUCCGUCGCCAGCGACUGCAGCAGCGUCGCCUCCGCCGACUUCGAGGGCCUCUUCUCCCCCUCCGGCGCCGACGCGGCCCCGCCCUCGCUCCUCUCCGACGACCUGCCCGCGGCCGCCGCCGAGGCCGCGGCGGUCCCCGGCGGCGCCUGCAGGAGCGUCUUCGCCCUCGACUCCCCGCCGCUCUGGGGGCUCGAGUCCGUCUGCGGCCGCCGCCCGGAGAUGGAGGACGCCGCCGCCGUCGUCCCGCGAUUCUACCGCGUCCCGCUCUGGAUGGUCGCCGGCGACGGCGCCGCGGUCGACGGCCUUGACCGCGCCUCCUUCCGCCUCCCCGCCCACUUCUUCGCCGUCUACGACGGCCACGGCGGCGCCCAAGUCGCCGACUAUUGCCGGGAGAAGCUCCACGCCGCGCUCGUCGAAGAGCUACGCGCCGCAGAGGACCGUGUCGGCGGAUGCGACGACCUGAGCUCCCUGGACUCCAAGAAACAGUGGGAGAAGGCAUUCCUGGACUGCUUCUGCCGCGUCGACACCGAGGCCGAGGCGCCGGACAGCGCGGGGUCGACGGCGGUGACCGCGGUCCUUUGCUCGUCCCACAUCAUCGUCUCCAACUGCGGGGACUCGCGGGCGGUGCUGUGCCGGGGCAAGGCGCCAUUGCCGCUCUCUCUGGACCAUAAGCCCAACAGGGAAGACGAGUACGCGAGGAUCGAGGCGCUGGGCGGCAAGGUCAUCCAGUGGAAUGGAUAUCGAGUUCUCGGUGUUCUUGCCAUGUCGCGCUCCAUCGGGGACAGAUACCUGAAACCGUACAUAAUCCCGGUCCCCGAGGUGACGGUUGUUGCCCGGGCGAGAGAGGAUGAGUGCCUCAUCCUCGCAAGCGAUGGCCUCUGGGACGUGUUGUCGAACGAGGAGGUGUGCGACGCCGCUCGCAAGCGAAUCCUACUGUGGCACAAGAAGAACGCUACCGCCUCCUCGUCCAUCUCCCGAGGAGGAAGCGGCGGCGACGGUGGCUCGCCGGAUCCCGCCGCUCAGGCGGCCGCCGAGUACCUAUCCAAGCUCGCCCUCCAGAAGGGGAGCAAGGACAAUAUCACCGUCCUUGUGGUCGACCUCAAGGCGCAUAGGAAGUUCAGGAGCAAGACUGACAACAACAACAACAACAACAACAACAACAACAACAACAACAACAACAACAACAACAACAACAACAACAACAACAACAACAACAACAACAACAACAACAACAACAACAACAACAACAGAUAG